rnacentral:rRNA from 1 species
CCUACGGGAGGCAGCAGUGGGGAAUAUUGGGCAAUGGAGGCAACUCUGACCCAGCAACGCCGCGUGAAUGAUGACGGUCUUCGGAUUGUAAAGUUCUGUGAUGGGGGAUGAACACAAUGACGGUACCCCAAUAGCAAGCCACGGCUAACUACGUGCCAGCAGCCGCGGUAAUACGUAGGUGGCAAGCGUUAUCCGGAAUGACUGGGCGUAAGGGGUGCGUAGGUGGUUUAGUAAGUUGGCGGUGUAAUUCCGGGGCUCAACCUCGGCGCUACCGCCAAAACUAGUAGACUAGAGUGCAGGAGGGGUAAGUGGAAUUCGUAGUGUAGCGGUGGAAUGCGUAGAUAUCAGGAAGAACAUCAGGGGCGAAGGCGACUUACUGGACUGUAACUGACACUGAGGCACGAAAGCGUGGGGAGCAAACAGGAUUAGAUACCCCAGUAGUC